CCUACGGGUGGCAGCAGUGGGGAAUAUUGCACAAUGGGGGAAACCCUGAUGCAGCAACGCCGCGUGAGUGAAGAAGUAUUUCGGUAUGUAAAGCUCUAUCAGCAGGGAAGAAGAUGACGGUACCUGAUUAAGAAGCACCGGCUAACUACGUGCCAGCAGCGGCGGUAAUACGUAGGGGGCAAGCGUUAUCCGGAGUUACUGGGUGUAAAGGGGGCGCAGACGGCAGUGCCAGUCUGGAGUGAAAGCCCGGGGGCCAACCCCGGAACUGCGCUGGAAACCGCGCGGCUAGAGUACGGGAGGGGCAGGCGGAAUGCCUAGUGUAGCGGUGAAAUGCGUAGAUAUUAGGAGGAACACCAGUGGCGAAGGCGGCCUGCUGGACAGUAACUGACGUUGAGGCUCGAAAGCGUGGGGAGCAAACAGGAUUAGAUACCCCUGUAGUC
rnacentral:rRNA from 1 species